GGCUCGGGCAUUUUCCUGUUCCUUCCUGAGCCGUGCCCGUGAGCCGGUAUCCGUGACGGCCACCUGCCCCAACCCUCGAUAAUUGCAUCCCCACCCAUGCUCCCCCUCACAACCCACACAGCUCCAAAGAAAUCCCCAUCGCCGCCGCUCCCUCCCACCUUGUUCACUCGCCGCCAUGUCCGCCGCGUCAUCCUCCCCUCUCACCGUCCCAACUGACUUCCUGCUCCCUCUCAACCCGGUAUCCUUUUUGCGGUGACGAGAUCGCGACGAACUUCGCAAGGACGGGAGACAAGUUGGGUCAUUGGUUCUACAAGUGUAGAAAGUACGAUGCCCUCCAGUGCCGAUUCUUCGAUGCCAGAAGACGUACGUGAGGAGGCUAACUCCGCUUCAGCUUGCCCGUGCUUAGAAGCAACAAGCAAGUCGACAUUCACCAAGCCGUGCAGAUGGUCCAUGCUGCCAACCAACCCCCUGUGCAGCAAGGCGAUGGAGGGCAGAUAGCCACCCAAUCCAGUCUUUGCCACCGCGGUCUCGGCCAGGGCAGACUUUGUGUCAAACUGAUCAACUACAAGUCGUCGUUGCAUCCCGUUCCCAAAUGCUUGUAGUUGCCACUCUACUGCUUGCAGCUGCCAAUCCCAUGCUUACCGUGCUUGUCCUUCUGUUUGUAGUCGCCAGGUACUUUGGCUUGGUAAUUAAUGUGUUCAGAGUUGUUUACUGAGUCGCCGUGCAACGGCCAGAAGGCGUCAACCAUGUCAGGGUGGCUCCCUGUACCUCAAGCCUGUUUCACCUAAAAUGUCAGGGUAGCUCCCUGUACCUCAGGCGUCAACCGUGCGAACUUUAUUGGCAGCUUCAUAUGUAAUGAUAGUAACUAUGUUCAGUAUGCUUGUUACUGGCUGUCAUUGAAAUUAAUUCUGCGUAAUGAAAAUUCUUAUUGUUAUGCUAUUACACAAUUUGUUAUAUAAGAGAACUGUCCCUUAUGUCUUUGUUGAUCAGUUCUAUACAAAUUCUGCCCUGGCCGACCAAUAUGGGGUUGCACAUAGACUGAAGUAGCAAAUGUAUUAUAUAUUACUAGUAUUAUUUUUCAUUUCAGUUUGUUAACACAAAUAUUUCUUUAUUAUUUUGCUUCACUAGUGAUACAUAGGGCAUUGAUAUUUGAAAGGUGCAUAAGCUAUUAAGCUUCCACACCAACAGUCGAUGGGAACAACUAGAAUCAUGCAUUGAUGUCUCGAAACAUUUUCUGCACUUGAAAGUAGUGAGAGUAUGUAACCAGUUACUUUGUCGGCAUUUAACAAAUCGAAGAAGAUAUGCACCAGGUUUUUCAGGUUAAUUUUCUGCAGUCAUACAUAUCAAGUUGUUCCAUUCGGAAUGCAAAUCUUUUUCUGCAAGGUUGGCCUGUUGUGAAAACAACCUUUUCGAUCUAUCCCUCCGUUCCAAAAUAGAUGACCCAACUUUGUACUAAGUUAGUACAAAGUUGGGUCAUCUAUUUUGGAACGGAGGGAGUACAACAAAACUUUGCUGCCUGCACUAACUUCGCAACAGCUGGAUAAUUUUCUCUGGAUCUACUUUUUUGUUAAUGCGCAGCACCAGCGACUACGGCUUCGGCGAUGACUGUCGUUUCCUCCAUCACUUCCCACCAUGGACACGAUCAGGCUAUUUACGAAAAAAGAUGAACAAUUGGACCUAGGCGGUGAGGGGGAGCUCGGGAAGCCAAUGUGUCUUGCCAGCACCUUCAAGACCAGGCUAUGCAUGAGCUUUGUCGCCGGUGGAGGCCACUUGGCCUAUGGCAAAGUUGAGCUACGCAGGUCAAACGCAUCUUCAGAAGUCCAAGAUCAAGUGGUUUUCAUGGUGUUUGUGAUGAUCGUGUGUCUGCUAUUUUGCAGAAAUGCCUAAAUAGAAGGUUGUCUAUUCUUGUUGUAGUCCAUUUUUUCGGUUCAAUGAAGGCAUGAUAGGCAAGGCAAGAAAAAUGGAUUGAACAGGAACUCACUGUAUCUCUUAUUUUAUUCCUCGAAUUCUAACUGAACAAUACAAUUCUUUAUGUUGCUGGACAUCACCUCUUCCACUCCUAUUUUACAUGUAAUACAUGCAUUAUCAGCUUCGGUGUUAUUACCUUCUCUUUGGAUAAUGAGCAGAGUAAGUGUCAGUCCAAGAGAGAUAGUGCUAACAGACAACAAGGUCCUCAAGUUCUGGGUUGAGGAUGAGUGCAAGGUUUUUGGGAUCCCUUGCGGUCGUCACAAAAUCAAAGGCAGAGAUGCCAACAUAAACCCUGAAGCAAUUCAGUUCAUAAAGGGUACAGUUGAAAUGAACAAGACGGGGGUUCACAGCUUGCGUGCAGCAGAAGAGUUCCUUUUGCGCGACAUCAACGAGAAUUCCAGCCAGCUUGAAAAAGAUUGUUUCCAGAUAGCCUUUGUUAUAUUUUGUCAUGGACCAUCUGCUUUCUCUGUUAUGUAUCAACUGUUGUCGAACACGCGCAUCAGCCUUAUCAAUGCAACACACUUACACCGACAUGACCUACUAUUCUCCGCCUCUGGUUUCCCCUGUAUAAUUGACAAAAAACACAAAUGUCAUCAUUUAAACACACUUGUAGCACCGACGUCCAUGGCUGCUGCUUACCUUCCAAAACAAUAAUUACAUGAAUAAGUGUUUACCGAGCAGCCGCAUGCGAUUUCUUGCAUUCACUUUGACACCUUGUCCUCUCGACGUUUAGCCAGCUCUUACCGUACCUUAUUCUGAAUCUAAUCUCCC
rnacentral:rRNA from 1 species